rnacentral:lncRNA from 1 species
AGACAGAGUCUUGCUGUGCUCAGGCUGGAGUGCAGUGGCAAGAUCUCGGCUCACUGCAACCUCCGCCUCCCAGGUUCAAGCGAUUCUCCUGCCUCAGCCUCCUGAGUAGCUGGGAUUACAGGCGUGUGCCACCAUGCCAGGCUAAUUUUUGUAUUUUUAGUAGAGACAGGGUUUCACCAUGUUGGCCAGGUUGGUCUUGAACUCCUGACCUCAAGUCAUCUCCCCCGCCCGCCUGGGCCUCCCAAAGUGUUGGGAUUACAGGCGUGAGCCACCGCACCCAGCUGCCUAUUUUCUUGUCCCUCCAAAAAAAGAUUAAAGAGUCCCAACUCAUACUUGAAAGUUUGACUCGGUCUUUUCCUUCCAACAGUUAUAAAUCUGUGAAAUGAAAGUCUUUGUUUCCUUAAAGGGAUUUCAAGAAUUUAACAAAAGGGUUGGGGAAUGGAACCUUUGCUGUCACUAUGCCUGUCUCUCAAUUCUACCCUAAAGGUAAACUAAAUGGAAUCCUUUUAUGGUGACUAGGAUUAGGAUGUUGAUUCCAAAGCCUUUCCCUAAAAUCUAUUCCUUGCUCCCUGGAAAGGAUAAUACAGGUUCUGGCCCCCACUGUAGGUACUGACAGCCCAAGGCAGAAUAGGUUUUGCUAGGCUUUAGCCUUUUAUUCUUUGACAUAGGUCAGUCCUGCAGGCUUCUUUUUUCUAAGUCUCCUGCCUAUCCAAAACCAGACCUUUUCUCCCACCUCCUUCUGCUUCAAGCCUCUUAAUAAUCCAUAUUUCUAUUUUCUAGCAAUAGUAAUAGUUUAUUAUUUAGUGAUGUAUACUUGCACCCCAUUUACUCCUUUUCAAUAUUUCAGGAUACAUCUUUGUCCUGUAUUUCUGUACCAGUUCACAGAAUUUCUACAGCAAGAUCCCUUUAAAUGUAUGGCUUUCCUUCAUAGGUUGCAAGGAUUACUUUAUACAAGUGCUACUGUAACUAUAUCUUUUGUGGAGUACAAUUGGUAUGACAUGCUGUGUUCAUAGAUGAAAAUGCUAAGUGAGGCACUCUGAAGCAAGUUAAAGUUCACAGACAUUCUUGCUUGCCCACCACCCCCCCGAACCCCGCCAUGGAAUCAUCAAAUAAGAAAAAUAAGACAGAUUUUCAGAUUGGUGAUGGCAAAGUAAGACGCUGGUAUUUUGCACUGGCGCAGUCCAUUUAGUUGUUGAAUUUGUUCAGCAUACCUGGAUGGUGAGUGAGUUAGCUUUAUUUUUCAUUCUCAGCAGGGAAACUGAUAGACUAGGCAGUUUGGGGAAUUUUCCCAUUGUCUACUGUCAUGGGUCCAUAGUAUUUAAGUUUACAGACUACAACAUUGUCCACAGAAGCCAUAUUUAUCCCCUUGGAGGGAAGGGAAAGGUGUGCUAACUUAGAUCAUAAAAACAACUGAAUUUUAAAACAAGGCAAAUGCCACAGUUCAACUUCUCCAUAAAAAAGUUAAGUUCAUCUCUCCAUUCUUUUGCAUGCCUACAAUAUUUCCAUAUAACAACUGUAAAAUACUCUUGCCUGCUGCAAUCCAAAUGUUAUCCGGAUCACAGUUCUUGCUGUCAUUUCACAGGCAUGCAAUGUAUCUAUAGAUAGGUCAUAUCAUACCUGAGGAAGAUCAGAGACAGCAAGGGAACAUUUUCCCCACACUUGAGAUGGAAAUAAUAACAGGUGCUGCAACCUGUACUGGAUGUUUGGGGAUAGAAAGAUGAAUGGGACAUGAUUUGUGUGCUCCAAUGAGCUCAGUCCAGUGUAAGUGUAAAAGUUAAAGUGCCAUAUUGUUUAUUCAGAGUAUAUGUUAUAGUUUGUGAACCUUAUAUCAUUUGUUAAAUGAAAGGUUUUUAUAAAUCAACAGUAAUAUUGCCAUCCCAUGUAAAAAUCCUUUGAUAUUGCCAGGAAACAACUUUAAAUCACCAGAAAGCUUUAACAUCAAAUAAUACUUUUAGAAGGAGGGGAAAAGCCUUCCACCUCGACAUCGAGCCUAUGAAGUAUUCCCUAAAAAAGAGGAACUAAUCUGAGAAAAGUUUACACAUUUUUAAUACUCUAAGUUGUAGAUAAUGAAAUUGAUUUAAAUCAAAGUUAACUAGAAUAGGAUUCAUGUGUCAUGAAUUAUAUUGUCUAUUGUCUCAUAAGCAACAAGUGACACUUAUUAUCUUGGCUGACAAAAUCAGCUACCAUUUAAUGAACCAAGUUAAGAAUAACUCAGGUGACUGAUACCAAAAAUAAAUCUCUAAUACAGCUGAGAAUCCAGAAACACAAAUAAUAUGUUGAGUAAGUAAUAAAAGUGACAUUUCAAAUUAGUAAGGAAAAAAUGGAUUAUUCAACAAAUAGUAUGGGAUAGCAUAACAAUUUAGAAGAAAUAUAAAGUUAGAUCUUUCACAAAAAUUAAUUCUAGCUAGACUAGCAGUUAGUCUUCUACUUUUUGGUUACUCCCUUUUAGAAAUUGGAAGCUAUGAAGCUAUAUACCCUGUCCAUUUGAAAAUGCACAUAAGCAAAGAACUUUACAAAUAGGUUAUAAAGAGAAGCUCAAUCUCAGCAAAAUAAGGGAAGUGCACAUUAAAACACAAGAAACCAUCUCAGAUCCAACUAAUAUUUAGCGUGCAUACAAAUCAAAAGCUGGAAAGGGUGUGGAAAAACAGGAAUACAUUGCUAGUGAGCAUACAAAUUGGCACAGCCUCUUUUAAAGACAAUUGUGUAUCACCCAUUAAAUUUUAAAAGUCACAUACCCUGUGACCUAACAAUUCCAACUUUUAAUGUCCUAAAGAAACAUACAUGUGUUCACAAGAUAGCCUGUACAAUGAUGUCAAUUGCACCUUUGCUUGUACAGUAGACCCCCUUAUCUGCAUUUUCACUUUUUGAGGUUUCAGUCAUCCAAGGUCAACCACAAUACAAAAAUAUUAAAUGGAAAAUUCCAGAAACGAACAUAAGUUUUAAACUUCAAACCUUUCUGCAUAGUAUAAUAAAAAUCUCUCACUAUCCCUCUCCAUCCUGCCUGGGACAGGAAUCAUCCCUUUGUCCAGUGUAUCCACAAUGUAUACACUCAUUAUAUACCCAUUUUAUAAUGCCCAUUAGUCAUUUCUAUUAUCAGAUCAUAAAAAAACAUAGUACAUAGAGGGUUUGGUAUUAUUCAUGGUUUCAGGCAUUCAGUGAGGGUCUUGGAAAAUAUCCUCCAUGAUGGGGGAGCUACUGUAAUACUAUGAAAUUGGAAAAACCAAAAUACUCAUCAAGAGGAUGGACUAUGGUACACAUGAUGAAGUAUUAAGUAUCAAUGAAAAAGAGAGAGUCCUACAUGUCCGGCAUGGAAGGAUCUCCAGGAGACAAUGUUAAAAGUUUGGGGGAAAAAUUGAAAGACAAUACCUGUAAUACAUAUGAUACUAGUGAUGUUAAAUCACAUCACACACACACACACACACACACACACACACACACAAAUACUGUAUAGUGUACUUCUACAAGUACAUAUUUGUGUAUUAUAUAGAGAGAAGGUCUGGAAGGAUACUAACCAAACUGUCAACAGUAGUUUGGUAGCGUGCAUUAGCUUUAACUGUAAUGUUUGAUGUUUUUGAAUAUGCAUUU